GCGUGACGGGGCUAUCCCGAGUGCCRUCYGCUGAGGAUGGCUUUUCCCCASURUAGAKAGCUGGAGGAAUAAGGAGAGGGCAAGUCUGGUGUCAGCCGCCGCGGUAAUACCAGCUCUCCGAGUUGUGGGGAUGAUUAUUGGGCCUGAAGCRUCCGUAGCCGGCUUGCUCAAGUCYYYUGUUAAAUCCAGCGACUAAUCGUUUGGACUGCGGGGAGAUACUGCUUAGGCUAUAGGGGCGGGAGAAGCCGUACGUAUUCUUCGGGGUAGGGUGAAAUCCUAUAAUCCCGGGAAGACCACCAGUGGCGAAAGCUGUCGCUAGAACGCGCUCGACGGUGAGGAACGAAAGCUGGGGAACCAAACCGGAUUAGAUACCCGGUAGUCCCAGCUGUAAACGAUGCGGCCUAGUGUUAGGACCGCUACUAGCCCCUCUCAGUGCCCCAGGAACUCGAUUAACCUGCCGCCUGGGAAGUACGGCCGCAAGCUGAACUUAAGAUUGCGGGGGGACAC
rnacentral:rRNA from 1 species